AGAAAAACUAGAUCUAGGUCUCAACAUGAAAGUUGUUUGGAAUGUCAUUUAUAGUAACAUUUCUCUUGGAAUCAUUUUCAUAUGUGUAGCACCUCAAAUUUGCACCCCCCAUUUGUACAUUCAUUUCAUUUUUAGGUCAUUAACAUUGCAUAGUGCAUUGCAUUUCAUCAGUCAAAACUGGUCAGGAGAAUUCAUCUGUGCAAGAGACCAAG
rnacentral:lncRNA from 1 species